rnacentral:rRNA from 1 species
UGACGAGUUUGAUCCUGGCUCAGGAUGAACGCUAGCGGCAGGCUUAACACAUGCAAGUCGAGGGGUAUAGUUCUUCGGAAUUAGAGACCGGCGCACGGGUGCGUAACGCGUAUGCAAUCUACCUUUUACAGAGGGAUAGCCCAGAGAAAUUUGGAUUAAUACCUCAUAGUAUAAUGACUUGGCAUCAAGACAUUAUUAAAGUCACAACGGUAAAACGAUGAGCAUGCGUCCAUUAGCUAGUGUAAGUAACGC